rnacentral:lncRNA from 1 species
CUAGAUCCGACCAUCCUAAUUCAAUCUUAAUGUCUAAUAACAUAUGAUUAACCAAUUCUUGAUCCAAAUUUGUAAAGCUUUCUCUUUAACCAAAGUGUUUCAAAGUUCCAAGUAAUCUCAAGGAUUCCCGGCAUUGCUUACACCCAGGAUACCAUUAGAAUUAGAAUAGUGCAGUGUGGAAGAUCCAUCCCUCAGGCAUCCAAGUUCAGAUGGAGCUCGAGGGUCCCAAAGCAUGGCUUGCAAGAGAGGGGCAGAACUUAUAGCUAAGAGUAAGUGCAAAGUGAAAAGUGAAUAAGGGAGUCAUACAAAUGGUGGUCACGCCUAGCCACAAGUGUAGGCUGGCACACCCCUGACCACCUUUUUGGUUAAACAAGUUAGGAGCAUACCCUUGAAGGUCAAACCAAUAUCAAGAUAGUGAUUAGGACACUAUAAGACCUAAGCCCAAGGCUCAAGCACAUAAAGGGAAAGGGGAGUGGGAAUUGAUUGAGUUAGGGGUUCAAAGAACCAAGUUCAGAGUCAUAGACAACAAUAUUAAAGUGCUACCAUGUCUUGAAC